rnacentral:rRNA from 1 species
CCUACGGGAGGCAGCAGUGGGGAAUAUUGGUCAAUGGGCGAGACCCUGAUCCAGCGACGCCGCGUGAGUGAAGAAUUAUCUAGGUACUUAAAGCUCUAUCAGCAGGAGAGUAAAUGACGGUACGUGACUCAGAAUCUCUGGCUAAUUCCGUGCCAGCAGCGGCGGUAAUACGUAGGGGGCAAGCGUUAUCCGGAUGUACUGGGUGUAAAGGGAGCGUAGUCGGCAGGGCAAGUCUGGAGGGAAAUGCCGGGGCCCAACCCGGGAACUGCACUGGAAACUGGGAAGCUGGAGUGCAGGAGAGGUAAGCGGAAUUCCUGGUGUAGCGGUGAAAUGCGUAGGUAUCAGGAGGAACACCGGCGGCGAAGGCGGCUUACUGGACUGUAACUGACGUUGAGGCUCGAAGGCGUGGGGAGCAAACAGGAUUAGAUACCCCUGUAGUC